GGUGAGGUGUCCGAGUGGCUGAAGGAGCACGCCUGGAAAGUGUGUAUAGGGCAACGUAUCCGGGGUUCGAAUCCCCGCCUCACCGCCA
rnacentral:tRNA from 1 species